GAGUUUCUUUGUGCCAUUUUGUG
rnacentral:piRNA from 1 species